GAUGAACGCUGGCGGCGUGCCUAAUACAUGCAAGUCGAGCGAAUGGAUUAAGAGCUUGCUCUUAUGAAGUUAGCGGCGGACGGGUGAGUAACACGUGGGUAACCUGCCCGUAAGACUGAGAUAACUCCGGGAAACCGGGGCUAAUACCGGAUAACAUUUUGAACCGCAUGGUUCGAAAUUGAAAGGCGGCUUCGGCUGUCACUUAUGGAUGGACCCGCGUCGCAUUAGCUAGUUGGUGAGGUAACGGCUCACCAAGGCAACGAUGCGUAGCCGACCUGAGAGGGUGAUCGGCCACACUGGGACUGAGACACGGCCCAGACUCCUACGGGAGGCAGCAGUAGGGAAUCUUCCGCAAUGGACGAAAGUCUGACGGAGCAACGCCGCGUGAGUGAUGAAGGCUUUCGGGUCGUAAAACUCUGUUGUUAGGGAAGAACAAGUGCUAGUUGAAUAAGCUGACACCUUGACGGUACCUAACCAGAAAGCCACGGCUAACUACGUGCCAGCAGCCGCGGUAA
rnacentral:rRNA from 1 species